rnacentral:rRNA from 1 species
AGUGAACGCUGGCGGUAGGCCUAACACAUGCAAGUCGAACGGCAGCACAGUAAGAGCUUGCUCUUACGGGUGGCGAGUGGCGGACGGGUGAGGAAUACAUCGGAAUCUACUUUUUCGUGGGGGAUAACGUAGGGAAACUUACGCUAAUACCGCAUACGACCUACGGGUGAAAGCAGGGGAUCUUCGGACCUUGCGCGAUUGAAUGAGCCGAUGUCGGAUUAGCUAGUUGGCGGGGUAAAGGCCCACCAAGGCGACGAUCCGUAGCUGGUCUGAGAGGAUGAUCAGCCACACUGGAACUGAGACACGGUCCAGACUCCUACGGGAGGCAGCAGUGGGGAAUAUUGGACAAUGGGCGCAAGCCUGAUCCAGCCAUACCGCGUGGGUGAAGAAGGCCUUCGGGUUGUAAAGCCCUUUUGUUGGGAAAGAAAAGCAGCAGGUUAAUACCCCGCUGUUCUGACGGUACCCAAAGAGUAAGCACCGGCUAACUUC